GGAACAAAGAGAAAAAGAGAGGAACAAACCCUAGGAAAGAAAAAUUCAAGAGAAAUUGUUGGAUUUCAAGAAAUCAAGUAAGUAAAGGUAAGAUUUUUUAAUUUUAGCUUGUGAUCUACCUUUCCCAUGCAUUCUUUUUCAUUCUCCAUGGCUAAAAUUCAAGUUUUCAAGAGGGAACCUUUGCUGGCCAAAUCUAGAGAGAGAAGUUUUGGUGAUGAAUUUUGCUAGAUUUCAUAAUAUCCUAGUGUUUUUAGUCAUUCUGUGAUGUUUGGAAGGAAAAACAAGCAAGAAAAUCACAUGCCCUUCAAUAACCCUCAUUUGGCCGAAUUUUCUAUAGGGCAUGUUGAUAAUGGAUUUGGUUGUAAUUCAUGUUAUUUAGCUAGGAAUUGAUGAAUUAUAAUGUUGGAUAUCGAAAUUGGAAUGAAUUUCGGUAACGGUGAAUUAAGUCACAAUUAAGCUCAUUGAGGUACUUUGGUGUAUUGGGAAUAUUGGAAGUGUAAUGAAGAUAUUUGGAGUUGAAUUGGAUGUUUUGGCUAAUUAAACAAGGCAUAGUAUGAGUUAGGUUGAAUGCCAAUUCAGUCCGAUCAUAAUUGAACCCACGUAAAACCCCAUCUUUAAGUAAUUAUUCGGACAAUUCUCGUUCAAUGUCAUGCAUUCAUAUAGAGCCUGAAAUAGUUUUAUAACAGUUUGGCACAAAUAUAUUGAAUUACGUGUCGUGUAUUAUGUACAGGUGGUGAGCCCUUUGAUAAGGGUAAAGAUAUUGUGCCCGAGGACCAAGAAUAGGAGUACUCCAAACUCCUGCUAUUGUGAGUAAUUAGAUGUUCAUUUUAAUUAUUUACCAAUUAUUAUGUUUUACAUUUUAAAUGUUGGUUAAAUGAAUGAGAUGUAUAAAUUAUUCUGAAAUUAAAUGUUGAUUUUCGAAAUAGAGUAAGUAGAGGCUAUACAUUCAUAUUAUAUAUAUAUACAUGAUUUGAAUUGAUGGCUUAUGAAAUCGUAGUAGCAUGAAUGGCUGAAAUUGUAAUUUUGUGAAUUAUAUAAAUUGUUUUGCCUUACAUUGACAGGUUGGAUAGUACUAUAUUAGCCAUGUUAUGUUGCCGAAAUUUUAUUGAUUUGGUGGGUUAUGUAUUUAGCUUAUUGCAGUGGACGGGUUUUUAUGGACCAGCCUAUUAGAGGGGCAUGGUAAACCCCGUUAUAUUUACCUUAGUACGAGAGGCACGGAGGGUAUCUCCUAAGGUAAAGUUAGAGUUCACCUCACGCCGAACCACCACGUGAGGGUGAAACUCAGCCAACGCCAAG
rnacentral:lncRNA from 1 species